rnacentral:lncRNA from 1 species
AUCCUGAGCUCGAACCAGGUGGCGCCCCGAGGAAGUGACAGUCAGUUACGCUAGAGAGAAGCGUGGGCAGUUUCAGCAGCGCGAUUUUCUGGCAAGAGGGAGCGAGAGGUGCCUGGAGACGGCAGGACGUGGGGGGAGCCCCAUCCCGGGGCGGCAGGUGCCGCAGGAUCCUCUGGGUCGGGGUCUUGGGGGGGAUGCCUGCGGGACCCAGGCCUGGAGCUCUGGCCUCUCAGCGGGCUGACCUCCGGAGAGGCUCUCGGCCUUGCCGAGUCUCCAUUUUCCUCAUCUCUGCAGCGAGAAGAAAGAUCUUGUCCUGUCGCCUUCUGGGAUUGUUGGGGGAAUCAUGUAACCUGGUGUCACAUGUGUGGUUGCUGCUCUAUGCCUGCAAGUUAUCCCAAAAUCUGCCGUGGAGUUUCCAAUUUAUGUGGAUGAAUUUUCUGUGUUGA